UGUUCACUGACACUCAAUUGUGUGUAAUAGAACACUCAACUGCACAGUGUGUAACUGAACACUCCUGACAUUCACCUAUGGACAAAAUUAGUUUAAGUACAAGGUGCUAAUGUUAAAGAAUUUUACUCAAUGACAUCGCUCUAAAAUCUCAUUGGUUAGUUUGUAGUUUUCUCACUUCACUGCCACAUGUUUCUCUUUGAAACUCAAGAGAACCAGCUUGGAGAAGUUGGAGCUAGCUGAAGCAACAACUUGAUCUAGUCUAGAUAUAUAAUGAUAUAAUAGUAUCUACCAGUUCUCCAAGGUCUUUUGGUCAAAGAGAGAUCAAUCCAGCACCCAAAGACGCGAGGACACGAGUGUAUCAAAGCAAGACAGCUGUACAUAUAGCCAGGAGUACUCAGUCCUGAUAAUAGCAGCCAUGGAGCUCGUCUACAUGUCUAUGCCAGUGAAUAAGAACCAAGAACAAUGUCAAUUCUUGAUGCUGAAGAAUGUGGAGACAAACAUGAAGAGCCCAUGACAAGCAUGGUAUCCGUCAGACUGCUUUAGCAAAGAAAAUUCUUCAAUUAUGUGACUUUGUACAAAACUUGGUAUAAUUAUACUGCUUAGGUUUCACCAAGGGCGUAUACAGAGAAGAGGGCAUGCAACUCGCCCAAUUCUCAGAAUCAUCCGACUUCGUAUUGAGCUAUUUUUAGAACUGCCCACAAAACGCCCACGCGUAAUCUUUGACCGCACAAGGUAAAUCAAAGUCUUUUUUAUAUCUGUGCUAGCUAGCUAGCUCGAUUGCAGCAUAGUAAAACUAGUUCUCAGCAGCAGUAUGGCUCGUACUAGCAGUGUCAAAGGCAAACCAUCCAACAGUUGCAACUCCAAGAAGAUGAAACCUAGGUACAAUAAACCUGUCUUCCUGAGUCUCUGGUACUUCUUAACAAUGCGCCCAGCACUUAACUUCCCGCUCGAAGGGGUUGUCUUGGACCUGGCUGGACUAGGACUGGUCAUGACACUUCUCUAAAAUAAUACUCCACUGUUAGCUAGCUAGCAAAGGCUAGGCAGCUCUGAUGUACACGCCCAUAAUUAUAACUCCGUAAACAACACCGCCCACUUGUUCACGUCCGUAUACUGGAUUCUAUUUUUAGCAUAUCCGGUCUCUGAUACGAAGUCGGAUGAGUACGUAGGGUACAUAGUGAGUUGCAUGCCCUCUUCUCUGUAUACGCCCUUGGUUUCACUAUAUAUGUACGUUACAUUGUUUUUUUCUUGUGUUUUAUCAACCAUUAUACAUACGUG